rnacentral:rRNA from 1 species
CACUGCUGUGGCAGAGUAGAUGCACCUGAUUUCACCUUGAUCUUGGAAACUAAGCAGUCCUUGACCUGGCUAGCACUUGAAUGGGUAGGCCACUUCGGGAUUCCAAGUACUGUAGAUG